GUGCUUGCUUUGGCAGCACAUAUACUAAAAUUGAGACGAUACAGAGAAGAUUAGCAUGGCCCCUGGGCAAGGAUGACAUGCAAAUUUGUGAAGAGUUCCAUAUUAAA